UUUUACACAUACAUGGUCAUGUCAUCUGUAAACAGAGACUUGUAUUUCUUCUUUCUCAAUCUGUAUACCUUUUAUUUCCUUUUUUGUCUUAUUGGAUUACAUAGGGCUUCCAGUAUGAUGUGGGAAAGGAGUGGUGAGAGGGGACAUUCUUACUGUGUUCCUGAUCUUAAUGGGAACGCUUCUAGUUUCUCACAAAAACAACUAUGAAACCUGGAUUAAACAAAUGGAGCAGCUAUUUUAGAACGUCAAAGAGCCAGUAGCACGCGGUAAGGUGGAGAACAGCACCAGAAUUCAAAGUACCACUGAAUUGAUGGUGGGUUGACAGUUUAUUUUCUCUGAUUUCCCUUGAUCUCAACACAACUAGAAACCUGAAUGUGAACAUGGUUGUAAAAGUAGAG
rnacentral:lncRNA from 1 species